rnacentral:rRNA from 1 species
UAGGGAAUCUUCGGCAAUGGGGGGAACCCUGACCGAGCAACGCCGCGUGAGUGAAGAAGGUUUUCGGAUCGUAAAGCUCUGUUGUUAAGGAAGAACGAGUGUGAGAAUGGAAAGUUCAUACUGUGACGGUACUUAACCAGAAAGGGACGGCUAACUACGUGCCAGCAGCCGCGGUAAUACGUAGGUCCCGAGCGUUGUCCGGAUUUAUUGGGCGUAAAGCGAGCGCAGGCGGUCAAUUAAGUCUGAUGUGAAAGCCCCCGGCUCAACCGGGGAGGGUCAUUAGAAACUGGUUGACUUGAGUGCAGAAGAGGAGAGUGGAAUUCCAUGUGUAGCGGUGAAAUGCGUAGAUAUAUGGAGGAACACCAGUGGCGAAGGCGACUCUCUGGUCUGUAACUGACGCUGAGGCUCGAAAGCGUGGGUAGCAAACAGG